CAGCAGCCGCGGUAACACGAAGGGUGCAAGCGUUAAUCGGAAUUACUGGGCGUAAAGCGUGCGUAGGCGGUUUGUUAAGUCUGUUGUGAAAUCCCCGGGCUCAACCUGGGAAUGGCAAUGGAUACUGGCAAGCUAGAGUGUGUCAGAGGAUGGUGGAAUUCCCGGUGUAGCGGUGAAAUGCGUAGAGAUCGGGAGGAACAUCAGUGGCGAAGGCGGCCAUCUGGGACAACACUGACGCUGAGGCACGAAAGCGUGGGGAGCAAACAGGAUUAGAGACCCCUGUAGUCCCUGUCUCUUAUAC
rnacentral:rRNA from 1 species